AACGAACGCUGGCGGGAGGCCUAACACAUGCGAGCCGAGCGGUAUUGUUUCUUCGGAAAUGAGAGAGCGGCGUACGGGUGCGGAACACGUGUGCAACCUGCCUUUAUCUGGGGGAUAGCCUUUCGAAAGGAAGAUUAAUACUCCAUAACAUAUUGAUUGGCAUCAAUUAAUAUUGAAAGCUCCGGCGGAUAGAGAUGGGCACGCGCAAGAUUAGCUAGUUGGUGAGGUAACGGCUCACCAAGGCGAUGAUCUUUAGGGGGCCUGAGAGGGUGAUCCCCCACACUGGUACUGAGACACGGACCAGACUCCUACGGGAGGCAGCAGUGAGGAAUAUUGGUCAAUGGGUGCAAGCCUGAACCAGCCAUCCCGCGUGAAGGACGACUGCCCUAUGGGUUGUAAACUUCUUUUGUAUAGGGAUAAACCUACCCUCGUGAGGGUAGCUGAAGGUACUAUACGAAUAAGCACCGGCUAACUCCGUGCCAGCAGCCGCCGCAGUAA
rnacentral:rRNA from 1 species